rnacentral:rRNA from 5 species
CCUACGGGAGGCAGCAGUGGGGAAUAUUGGACAAUGGGCGAAAGCCUGAUCCAGCCAUGCCGCGUGUGUGAAGAAGGUCUUCGGAUUGUAAAGCACUUUAAGUUGGGAGGAAGGGCAUUAACCUAAUACGUUAGUGUUUUGACGUUACCGACAGAAUAAGCACCGGCUAACUCUGUGCCAGCAGCCGCGGUAAU